UACGGGGGGGGGCAAGCGUUGUUCGGAAUUACUGGGCGUAAAGGGCUCGUAGGCGGCCAACUAAGUCAGACGUGAAAUCCCUCGGCUUAACCGGGGAACUGCGUCUGAUACUGGAUGGCUUGAGUUUGGGAGAGGGAUGCGGAAUUCCAGGUGUAGCGGUGAAAUGCGUAGAUAUCUGGAGGAACACCGGUGGCGAAGGCGGCAUCCUGGACC
rnacentral:rRNA from 1 species